rnacentral:rRNA from 1 species
AUACGUAGGUGACAAGCGUUAUCCGGAUUUACUGGGCGUAAAGGGCGUGUAGGCGGUCUUGCAAGUCAGAAGUGAAAUUCCUGAGCUCAACUCGGGCGCUGCUUCUGAAACUGCAGGACUUGAGUGCUGGAGGGGAUAGCGGAAUUCCUAGUGGAGCGGUAAAAUGCGCAGAUAUUAGGAAGAACACCGGUGGCGAAGGCGGCUAUCUGGACAGUAACUGACGCUGAGGCGCGAAAGCGUGGGGAGCAAACAGGAUUAGAUACCCUGGUAGGCCACGCCGUAAACGAUGAAUACUAGGUGUAGGGGGUAUCGACUCCCUCUGUGCCGCAGUUAACACAAUAAGUAUUCCGCCUGGGGAGUACGGCCGCAAGGUUGAAACUUAAAGGAAUUGACGGGG